rnacentral:rRNA from 1 species
AGCUUCGGCCGGAAGAUACGUUAUCUAGUGGCGGACGGGUGAGUAACACGUGGGUAACCUGCCUUAUGGAGGGGGAUAACAGAGAGAAAUCACUGCUAAUACCGCAUAAGCACACAGUACCGCAUGGUACAGGGUGAAAAGAUUUAUCGCCAUAAGAUGGACCCGCGUCUGAUUAGCCAGUUGGCAGGGUAAAAGCCUACCAAAGCAACGAUCAGUAGCCGAUCUGAGAGGAUGACCGGCCACAUUGGGACUGAGACACGGCCCAAACUCCUACGGGAGGCAGCAGUGGGGAAUAUUGCACAAUGGGGGAAACCCUGAUGCAGCGACGCCGCGUGAGUGAAGAAGUAUUUCGGUAUGUAAAGCUCUAUCAGCAGGGAAGAUAAUGACAGUACCUGACUAAGAAGCCCCGGCUAACUACGUGCCAGCAGCCGCGGUAAUACGUAGGGGGCAAGCGUUAUCCGGAUUUACUGGGUGUAAAGGGAGCGUAGACGGAAUGGCAAGUCUGAAGUGAAAUACCCGGGCUCAACCUGGGAACUGCUUUGGAAACUGUUGUUCUAGAGUGUUGGAGAGGUAAGUGGAAUUCCUGGUGUAGCGGUGAAAUGCGUAGAUAUCAGGAAGAACACCGGAGGCGAAGGCGGCUUACUGGACAAUAACUGACGUUGAGGCUCGAAAGCGUGGGGAUCAAACAGGAUUAGAUACCCUGGUAGUCCACGCUGUAGACGAUGAAUACUAGGUGUCG